rnacentral:rRNA from 1 species
UACGUAGGUGGCAAGCGUUGUCCGGAAUUAUUGGGCGUAAAGCGCGCGCAGGCGGUUUCUUAAGUCUGAUGGGAAAGCCCCCGGCUUAACCGGGGAGGGUCAUUGGAAACUGGGAGACUUGAGUGCAGAAGAGGAAAGUGGAAUUCCAAGUGUAGCGGUGAAAUGCGUAGAGAUUUGGAGGAACACCAGUGGCGAAGGCGACUUUCUGGUCUGUAACUGACGCUGAGGCGCGAAAGCGUGGGGAGCAAACAGG